GACGAACGCUGGCGGCGUGCUUAACACAUGCAAGUCGAACGGUGAAAGCGGAGCUUGCUCCGCUGGAUCAGUGGCGAACGGGUGAGUAACACGUGGGCAACCUGCCCCUGACUUCGGGAUAACUCCUCGAAAGAGGUGCUAAUACCGGAUACGAAUCCUGCAGGCAUCUGCGGUAUUGGAAAGGUUUUCGGUCAGGGAUGGGCCCGCGGCCUAUCAGCUAGUUGGUGAGGUAACGGCUCACCAAGGCAACGAUGCGGAGCCGACCUGGGAGGGUGAGCGGCCACACUGGGACUGAGACACGGCCCAGACUCCUACGGGAGGCAGCAGUAGGGAAUCUUCCGCAAUGGACGAAAGUCUGACGGAGCAACGCCGCGUGAGUGAUGAAGGCCUUCGGGUCGUAAAACUCUGUUGUUAGGGAAGAACAAGUGCUAGUUGAAUAAGCUGGCACCUUGACGGUACCUAACCAGAAAGCCACGGCUAACUACGUGCCAGCCGCCGCCGUAA
rnacentral:rRNA from 1 species